rnacentral:piRNA from 1 species
GCCAUCAACUACGUGUCUAUGAUUUCUCCG